rnacentral:rRNA from 2 species
UACGGAGGGUGCAAACGUUGCUCGGAAUCAUUGGGCGUAAAGCGCACGUAGGUGGCCUGUUAAGUCGGGUGUGAAAUCCCUGGGCUCAACCCAGGAAGUGCACUCGAAACUGGCAGGCUUGAGUACUGAAGAGGGUCGCGGAAUUCCCGGUGUAGAGGUGAAAUUCGUAGAUAUCGGGAGGAACACCAGUGGCGAAGGCGGCGACCUGGGCAGAUACUGACACUGAGGUGCGAAAGCGUGGGGAGCAAACAGG